rnacentral:rRNA from 1 species
UACGUAGGGUGCGAGCGUUAAUCGGAAUUACUGGGCGUAAAGCGUGCGCAGGCGGCGCGUUAAGACAGGUGUGAAAGCCCCGAGCUUAACUUGGGAAUUGCGCUUGUGACUGGCGUGCUGGAGUGUGGCAGAGGGAGGUGGAAUUCCAGGUGUAGCGGUGAAAUGCGUAGAUAUCUGGAGGAACACCGGUGGCGAAGGCGGCAUCCUGGACCGAUACUGACGCUGAUGAGCGAAAGCCAGGGGAGCAAACGGG